rnacentral:lncRNA from 1 species
AUAUUUUUAAAUCCAACAUUAUCAUCAUUAUUAUCAUAUGACCAUAAUAACAAUAGGUUCAAAAGUGAACCUUGGUGAGAUUUACUCACCUAAAUAUCCCGCUGUAAAUUCCACAACCGACCAAAGCAAACCAAACACAACUUCACAAAUCACCUAAAAAAUAGCACAAUUAAAACCUUAGUAACUAAAAUACUAUAGGUUAUCACAAUACCCUUAACUAACCCUUAGUUCAAGGGAGGACAACUUUCCAAAGUCGUCGAACUUAGAGACCCAAAAUGGCUGCCUCUAAUCCUCAAAUCCUAACUCAAACCUCAACCAAGCCUACACAAAUAAACCUAAGUCCUAACAUGCCAACCUUGCUUAAAAUCUAGCCACACUACCACUCAACAAGCUCACAGCAGUAAGGACUAGCUAACCACAGGAAACUAAGGCCGCAACUCAGCCGGACACGCCGCCACACGCCACCACAGGCGGCGGCGAGUGGGCCCCACGCGCCACCCCAAACUUCCGAAUUAGGAGAAACUCACAACAGCAAAGUUGAAGCUUGAAGCAAGGGGAACAACUUUCAUACCUGAGACUUCGACCAAUUUUGGUCGGAACCGGCCGAAAAUUGUCCCGAAACCCUAACCCGUAAUCACUCCUCAAACCUGCAAAACCGGCUUCAAAACCUCAAAAACUCACUUUAAUCUAUGCCUAGACACUACUAGGAGGAGGAGAGGAUCAAAACUCACCUAAGGAUGCCCCUUGUCGCCACUGUAUAAGGCGGUUCUGAUCGGUGGCACAGCAGCCCCCUUUUCCGGCCGAAAGCGUUGUUUCCGGCAUCCCACACCGAGCAGCAGCUGCCCAGCCUUGAAGAGGGCACCUGUGGGAGUCGAACGGGACCGGUGGCGGUCCGAUUGGCGGUCGGACGGCGGAGCUAGCUCCGGCGGAAGUUAUGCUCUCGGGAGAGCUCGGGAGAGCUCGGGAGAGCUCGGGAGAGGAAGGGGGAGAAGAGAGAGAAGAGAGAAAAGAGAGGGAAGAGAGAAAAAAGAGAGGCUGACCUAUUUU